GACGAACGCUGGCGGCGUGCUUAACACAUGCAAGUCGAACGGAAAGGCCCUGCUUUUGUGGGGUGCUCGAUUGGCGAACGGGUGAGUAACACGUGAGUAACCUGCCCUUGACUUUGGGAUAACUUCAGGAAACUGGGGCUAUUACCGGAUAGGAGCUCCUGCUGCAUGGUGGGGGUUGGAAAGUUUCGGCGGUUGGGGAUGGACUCGCGGCUUAUCAGCUUGUUGGUGGGGUAGUGGCUUACCAAGGCUUUGACGGGUAGCCGGCCUGAGAGGGUGACCGGCCACAUUGGGACUGAGAUACGGCCCAGACGCCUACGGGAGGCAGCAGUGGGGAAUAUUGCACAAUGAGCGGAAGCCUGAGGCAGCAACGCCGCGUGCGGGAUGACGGCCUACGGGUUGUAAACCGCUUUCGACUGUGACGAAGCGGGAGUGACGGUAAUGGGUAAAGAAGCACCGGCUAACUACGUG
rnacentral:rRNA from 1 species